rnacentral:rRNA from 1 species
UACGUAGGGGGCAAGCGUUGUCCGGAUCUAUUGGGCGUAAAGAGCGUGUAGGCGGCUAGAUAGGUCCGUUGUGAAAACUCGAGGCUCAACCUCGAGACGUCGAUGGAAACCAUCUGGCUAGAGUCCGGAAGAGGAGAGUGGAAUUCCUGGUGUAGCGGUGAAAUGCGCAGAUAUCAGGAAGAACACCCGUGGCGAAGGCGGCUCUCUGGUACGUGACUGACGCUGAGACGCGAAAGCGUGGGGAGCAAACAGG